rnacentral:lncRNA from 1 species
CCUUGAAAUCUGCACAGAAAAUAGGAGUCAACCCUAAAUUCAAAUAAAUCACUGCAAAGACUCUCUGGCUGACAGGAUACAUACGUGACUUUUUAUGGAUCACUCGGAAGAAAGCAACCAUCUUACCAUCCAUGAAGACUGAAGUUAAGACGUGUGAGAUUUUGAAACGUGACAGUGAAGGAAGGACUGUAGUGCUUCUCCAACAUUCUAU